AGGGGGAGUAACGUUACUGAAAAGAAACGCUAAUACCGCAUGAGACUACAGAGCUGCAUGGCUCAGUGGUCAAAGGAGCAAUCCGCUGAAAGAUGGACUCGCGUCCGAUUAGAUAGUAGGCGGGGUAACGGCCCACCUAGUCGACGAUCGGUAGCCGGACUGAGAGGUUGAACGGCCACAUUGGGACUGAGACACGGCCCAGACUCCUACGGGAGGCAGCAUG
rnacentral:rRNA from 1 species